rnacentral:rRNA from 1 species
AUUGAACGCUGGCGGCAUGCCUUACACAUGCAAGUCGAACGGCAGCACGGGAGCAAUCCUGGUGGCGAGUGGCGAACGGGUGAGUAAUAUAUCGGAACGUGCCCGGUCGUGGGGAUAACGUAGCGAAAGCUACGCUAAUACCGCAUACGAUCUACGGAUGAAAGCGGGGGAUCGCAAGACCUCGCGCGAUUGGAGCGGCCGACAUCAGAUUAGGUAGUUGGUGAGGUAAAGGCUCACCAAGCCGACGAUCUGUAGCUGGUCUGAGAGGACGACCAGCCACACUGGGACUGAGACACGGCCCAGACUCCUACGGGAGGCAGCAGUGGGGAAUAUUGGACAAUGGGCGCAAGCCUGAUCCAGCCAUGCCGCGUGUGUGAAGAAGGCCUGGU